CGUACAUGGCGGACGGGUGAGUAACGCGUAAAGAACUUGCCCUUUAGACUGGGAUAACAGAGGGAAACUUCUGAUAAUACUGGAUAAGUUAGUAUAUCGCAUGAUAUGCAAAUGAAAGCUACGGCACUAAAGGAGAGCUUUGCGUCCUAUUAGCUAGUUGGUAAGGUAAGAGUUUACCAAGGCGAUGAUAGGUAGCCGGCCUGAGAGGGUGGACGGCCACAAGGGGACUGAGAUACGGCCCUUACUCCUACGGGAGGCAGCAGCC
rnacentral:rRNA from 1 species